GACCAGUCGAAAAAGAACCGAAAAACGAAGCCGCCUUCGGUUUGUUUUUGAAGGCGGCAAAUAACCGCAAUUCCGUGGAGUUACAGUGCCCACUCAGCUGGUUUUUACCGAGCCACGACAUGCAAUAAGCACCGAAAUGGUAAGUUAAUCGUGAUAUUUUACUGUAGUUGCGCUCGUGGAAUGAAAGAGACAAGAAUUUACACAAACAAAAUGCAUUUGUUUUCCUCGUUUGCUUUAUGCGUUGAUUUUGUUCACUUCUGUACAACAUCUAAUCGCUGGAAGAGUCUUUUGUGUAAACAUUUAUUAAAAAAGUGGAAAAGAAUUAAUAAAUAAAUCAAAUUAAUAUAAACAGACUCCGUAAGAGUGAAAGGGAAGCUAACAUUGCAAAGUUAGCGUUGUGCAGGAAAGAUAACAGAUAACAGCAAUGAAAUCGAUUCUCCAGCCAGCUGGCGUUUUGAGCGGCUUAAACUUUAUUUUGAGUGAGGAAAUUGUUCUAGCCUAUAACGUAAGGGAAGAAGGCCCUUAGGACCCACAAAGAAUUUUUUGCAGCUUUGCUAGAAUGUAUUCCGCCUGGCGAUGAGCCCCCCGAAAACACUGUGCGGAAGGCAAUGCAAAGGAUGAAGAAAAGGGUGUUUAA